CAGCCGCCGCGGUAAUACGUAGGGUGCAAGCGUUAAUCGGAAUUACUGGGCGUAAAGCGUGCGCAGGCGGUUAUAUAAGACAGAUGUGAAAUCCCCGGGCUCAACCUGGGAACUGCAUUUGUGACUGUAUAGCUAGAGUACGGCAGAGGGGGAUGGAAUUCCGCGUGUAGCAGUGAAAUGCGUAGAUAUGCGGAGGAACACCGAUGGCGAAGGCAAUCCCCUGGGCCUGUACUGACGCUCAUGCACGAAAGAGUGGGGAGCAAACAGGAUUAGAUACCCCAGUAGUCCCUGUCUCUUAUAC
rnacentral:rRNA from 1 species